GGGGUUGUAGCUCAGUGGUAAAGCACUUGUCUUGCAUGCAUGAGGCACUGGGUUCAAUUCUCAGCACCA
rnacentral:tRNA from 1 species